GUUAACUCCUAAUGAGAUCCCAUCUUAUCUCAUCUUCCAUUAUUUUCUGUUAAAAAUACAAGAAUAUUUCUUAACUAAGUGGCUUUGUAAAGUAACAUCAUCCAUUUUCAUGAUUAGAUUUUCUGUUGCAGACGAUACUUUCUUCACUGAGAUUAUCACUAAUACAACCAGAUUGAUUUUGCUAUUAUUUCUAGAGAAUGAUGUUCGACAUGGUGAUAUCGUUGCCAUUAAUAUUGUUGGUCUUGAUAAUGGCUAUAGCUUGCUACCUGUUGGGUAGAGCCAAGGGUCGCAAACAAGCCCAGGCAGCUUCUCUACCACAAACCCAACCAAGAUAACAAAAGACCAAAAAGGAUCAUAGAAUAUAACAAUUCUAGAUUUGGAAAAUUGCUACAUAAUUGUAAUAACUAUCUCCUAAUGAUAUGGAUUGUUACUAUUGUUGUCGAAUAAAUUGUUUAGAAAUUUA